rfam:Triticum aestivum genome assembly, contig: Triticum_aestivum_CS42_TGACv1_scaffold_654948_T_2DL-0.041940_1AL-0.023031
UAUGUACUCCCUCCGUUCAGAAUUACUUGUCUCGGAAAUGGAUGUAUCUAGAACUAAAAUACAUCUAGAUACAUCCAUUUCUGUGACAAGUAAUUCCGAACGGAGGGAGUACAUC